CUAACGUUAGUAAGUCAGCUAAGAACGUAACGUUAGCUAAUUACACAACUUAGCUACCUAGCUAGUUAGCUGGAGGCCUCCCAUACCUCCAACCACUGUGUCAAGCAACACAUCUCGGACCAGUCUGAUGAAAUUGAUGUGAACCCUUCUUCAAACUCCGUACAAGACCCAAAUGCACAACUCAGACAGAGAAUCACAGAAACUGAAAUGGUGAUGCGAGGCAGAGAGAUGUGCAAAGGCAGUCUCACAGUCCAAACAGAGCCAAUGGACUAGCUGGGAAAAUCUGAAGCAUCAUAAGCUCAUAUGGAAGGAUCUUUG
rnacentral:lncRNA from 1 species